UGAGUGUAACAAACACUUCCAAAAACCUUUAAAUGUGUCACAUCUGGUUUUGUUCCAUACCAAGCUUCAUAGGGAGUUUUUCUUUUCAAUGCUUUAGUAGGAAGUCGGUUUAAAAUAUACACAGCUGUGCUAAUAGCUUCUGCCCAGAAUUCUUUCUGAAAAUUCUUUUCAAACAUGAGACAUCUUGUCAUCUCCGUGACUGUUCUUCCUUUCAAAGAUGCCAUUUUGUUGAGGUGAGUAUGGGAUUGUGAGCUGAUGAUUUAUCCCCAUAUCAUCACAAAAAUUAUCAAACUGGCCGCAUUUAUACUCAGUUCCAUUAUCAGUCCUAAUGGCCUUUAUCUUGCUGUCACAUUCAUUUUCCACUUAUUUUUUUGAAUUUCUGAAAUAUAGCAGCCACAUCUGAUUUUAGUUUUAGAAAAAACACCCAGCACAUUCUGGUUGAAUCAUCAAUAAAGAGUAUAAAGUACUUGUUGCCGUUUAGUGUCUGUGUAUUCAUUGGACCACACACGUCAGAAUGUAUCAAUUCCAAUUUAUUCAUAGCUCUCCUUGACAGAUUUUUAGGAAAUGGCAUUCUGGACAGUUUGCCCUUUUGACACACCUCACAUAUACAUGUUUCAUCACCUACAUCUGGAAUGUUUUCAACAAGUUCCAAAUUGUGCAAUUGCUUCAAUGAUGUGUAAUUAACAUGACCAAAUCGUUUGUGCCAUAAAGAGGAAUCAACCACAGUGUAAGAAAGUGCCUGAUUUUUCACAUUUUUCCAUUCCAAUGGAAAGCUUCUUUAUUUCAUUUUGACAGACAUUAGCUCCUGAUUUUUGAAUCAAAUAUGGUACAGCUAUUUCCUUUGAAGAUCAAUGUAUAUUGCUUCUCAAUUAAUUGACCAACACUAAUUAAAUUCUGGUCAAUUUCAGGCACAAAAAGAACAUUAGAAAUGAGUUUGGUACCUGAUGGUGUUUGAACUGAAAUCACACCUAUUCCCGUGACUUCCACAUGUUCUCCAUUGCCAGCUUUAACCUUUGAUCUAUAGGCAUCAAUCAACUCGACAAAGAUACUUGCAUCUGAUGUCAUAUGAUGAGUACAGCCACUGUCUAACAGCCAAGUCGCCACACUGCUGCUGGCUUUAAAAUUGAUGGCUGUGAACAAGUGCUCUUCCUGGUUUUGUUGCUGAUUUUCAGCCACUUGAGCUUGAGGCUUUGAUUGCUUGUCUUUUAUGCUUUUACAAACCUUUUGAAUAUGUCUAAAUUGCUUACAACCUCGGCAUUGAACUUCAGGUCUGUACCAGCACCAUUUGGGAGAGCGCCCUGUCUUUUUGCAAUGAACACAAGAUUGCUGUGCUACUUUCGUAGGAGACGAAAUUCGUUCUAUCUUGGGAAACGAUUGCUGAACGCCUUUAGCAUCUUUGAAGACGAAAAAUUCGUUUUAAGAAAAUAUCGUGAAGUCGGUGGGCUCGAAUUAAUUUUUCUAAUUCUGUUGGUCGUACUAUUAUGCUGUACAAAUUACGUUACGAUAAUUCUGUCAAAUUGUUUGGAAGGAGAAACUUAUACUCCAGAGUCAACAAUCUUAAAAUGAAUUUUGUUUGUAUUUUGAUUUUUUCUGUUUCUACUCCUUUUUAUUGUUUA